UGGUUGAAACUUGGCUUUUGGAUAGGGUUAGAAAGAAAGGAUAGUAUGAGGCCCAAACAAAACUUGAAGUGGGGUAGGGCUUACAACUUUUAGAAUCGACUCAAACAAUGAGGAUUAACUUAUGCCCCAAUUUCUUUUAGCUGAGUGAUUCUAAAUUGUUUAUUUGGUUGGAUCAAGCCAAGAGUUGGGCAAUCUACGUAUUUUACUCCUGAG
rnacentral:lncRNA from 1 species